GACGAACGCUGGCGGCGUGCUUAACACAUGCAAGUCGAACGGAAAGGCCCUGCUUUUGCGGGGUGCUCGAGUGGCGAACGGGUGAGUAACACGUGAGUAACCUGCCCUUGACUUUGGGAUAACUUCAGGAAACUGGGGCUAAUACCGGAUAGGAGCUCCUGCUGCAUGGUGGGGGUCGGAAAGUUUCGGCGGUUGGGGAUGGACUUGGGGCUUAUUAGCUUGUUGGUGGGGUAGUGGCUUACCAAGGCAUCGACGGGUAGCCGGCCUGAGAGGGUGGCCGGGCACAUGGGGACUGAGAUACGCAGCAGACUCCUACGGGAGGCAGCAGUGGGGAAUAUUGCACAGUGGGCGGAAGCGUGAUGCGGAAACGCCGCGUGCGGGAUGACGGCCUUCGGGUUGGAAACCGCUUUCGCCUGUGACGAAGCGUGAGUGACGGUAAUGGGUAAAGAAGCACCGGCUAACUACGUG
rnacentral:rRNA from 1 species